AUCAGGGGCCCUGGCAAGGGCCUUCGGGGCGCGCUCCUUCCACCCCAGGAGGCGCCUCGUGUCUAUACGGCCCACAAGGCGGUUCGACGGGAUUGCGACUGCAACGAAGAAGUUGUCCCGAGGGACGGAAGCGCAUCACCGCAGUACUGGCAAUCGCGUCGCACCGCAGCAAGGCAACCACGAGCCGACCUGCCGGAGCACACCUUCGCCUGGUCUGCCCACCCUUC
rnacentral:ncRNA from 1 species